AGAGUUUGAUCAUGGCUCAGGAUAAACGCUGGCGGCGCACAUAAGACAUGCAAGUCGAACGGAAGUCGUUAUAAAAAGGAUUGAAGAUUUAUCUGAUUGAUAUUUUAUAACAAUGGCUUUAGUGGCGGACUGGUGAGUAACGCGUGAGCAACCUGCCUAUUAGAGGGGAAUAACAGUGAGAAAUCAUUGCUAAUACCGCAUAUGCCAUGAACAUCACAUGAUGAAAAUGGGAAAGGAGCAAUCCGCUAAUAGAUGGGCUCGCGUCUGAUUAGCUAGUUGGUAAGGUAAAGGCUUACCAAGGCGAUGAUCAGUAGCCGG
rnacentral:rRNA from 1 species